CCCGUCUGCUGUGGCUGCGGUGCUGUGAGACACGCUUGAGAAGAAGCUUGCAAAAUCUUCUCAUUCUCACACUUUGCAAACUUCUUAAUUAGGCCAAGUUUUUUUUUUCGGGAAGGAAUACCCGUUGACCCAAACAACCUGAGCUUCCUAUCCACCUUCAAACUCAACUCAACAAAUGGCGAGCUAAACACCUACGCGGUGGAGGUGGAGAUGGAGCCAUAAGGAUCCACCACCGUCUGGGCGCAUCGCACCACCGUCACCAGCAGGAAGAAACACAGAACGAAGAGGAAGAAGAGAGCGAAGCCCAGAUCCACGUCGACUUCAAACGAGGGUGCAGGAUGUCCGCCUUGGUCCAUGUGGGUGAGAGGAGCUGCAGGUCCCGCUUUGAUGAAACGGAUUCCCCCCCAGGGUCGACCCAAGUGUGUGUCGGGCUUCUAAGGUGACGGUGAUGACCUCAUUCUGUAGAAGUGCAAAAUAUGAAGAUGAUAAUGCAGUCCCAAUACCUACAUUCAAUAUAAUACAGUGGUACCUAAACUUGAAAGUUAGAGUUGUCUCUCGACUAAUUCUUAUGCUUUAAGUUGCAAGCAAACAUUUGAGUUGCCAUUAGCUUAUAGCGGGGGUCAGCAACCCACGGCUCUUUACUUACUUUCUGGUUUAUUUGAAAUAGGGACAGAUACAGAAACAUAGAUAUCUGAAACAGUCAUCCAAUGUAUGCAUCAUAGUGUUUGUAGCCAAAGCUAAUUUACAACACUUAACAACAACAACAACACAGAUCUAACAUCAUUAAAAUAGGAAAAUAAAAAGAAUGAGGCAAAGAGGAGUCGAUAAUAAUGAUAAUAGUAAUAAUACAGACAAAGAUAAUAAUGAUAAUAGUAAUAAUACAGACAAAGGUAAUAAUACAGACAAAGUGCAAACUAGAUAAAAGCCAAUAAUAAUAAUAAUAAUAAUAAUAAUAAUAAUAACACAGACAAAGUGCAAACUAGAUAAGAACCAAUUAGUAAAAAUUUGUAAAAACUAAACAUGGGAACACGAUUGUUGCUCAACUAGCCACAAUUUUUUGUUUGUUUUUUGGAAAGUGACAAGUGCAGGUAUACUUUUCAAAGUGUCAGAUAGAGAGUUCUAUACUUGUGUUUAGCGCCGCCCUAGUGGCUCCCUGGACCUCUUUCAGAGAUGUGUGAAAAUAUAAUUUAAAAAAAAAUAUAUUUUCUGUUGGAGAACACACAUGACACAAACCUUCCUAAUUGUUAGAAAUCCCACUGUUUGUUAUACAUGUUUCCCUGAUGAAAGUAUUUGGCAAGCGCCGUUUUGUCCUACUAAUUUCAGCGAUCCUUGAACUCAUCGUGGUUUGUUUACAUGUACAACUUUCUCUGAUGCUGCUACAGAAAGACGUGUUUUAUGCCACUCCUUUGUCUCAUUUUGUCCAUCAAACGUUUUAUGCUGCGCGUGAAUGCACAAAGGUCAGCUUUGUUGAUGUUAUUGACUUGCUGGAGUGCUAAUCAGGCAUAUUUGGUCAAUCCAUGACUGCAAGCUAAUCGAUGCUAACAUGCUAUUUAGGCUAGCUGUAUUUACAUAUUGCAUAUUAUGCCUCGUUUUUGUAGGUAUAUUUGAGCUCAUUUAAUUUCCCUUACUUUUUAUAUUUGCAUGUCUCGUGACACAUUAUCUGUAUGUAAUAUUGGCUGCGUUUCUCAUAGUUGUUUAUGUGCCUGUUGUUCCAGACCACAGCAAACGUUACCCAGCUUGCAAAGAUAGUAAUAAAUCCAUUAGAAGAAGACAGCCUGCCGUUUCCUUUAACUUGGGCACACACAUCUAUACCUUCGGCCAUUCUGAGCCAGUAAUUUCCAGAAGUUAUCUCACCCUGUGAGAAGCCUCCAUUUUACUAAUGUUUUCCAACGUUGCAAAAAAUGUGUAGAAUAAAAAUUUAAAUAAUAAUAAAUAAUAAUAAUAACUGGGAUUUAUAUAGUCGCUUUACAUGUAGAACCCAUCAAUCAUUCACACCUGGUGGUGGUAAGCUACUUUCAUAGCCACAGCUGCCCUGGGGUAGACUGACAACAUUUCUGUCAACGAAGAUUUGCGUCAGCCUUUGAUAGUAGGCUAAUAUAGCUAAUAUAGACACUUACGUCAUGUGUUGCCUUCAUUAUAACACUUAUAUAAGGCUUUUUAUUUUUUGCGGCUCCAGACUGAUUUUUUUUUGUGUAUUUUUGGUCCAAUAUGGCUCUUUCAACAUUUUGGGUUGCCGACCUCUGGCUUAGAGGUAAAGAUGGACAAAACUUUACUUUUCCAAAAACGGAAAGACAGAAAGUGGGUUGAAUUAGUUGAAUUAAAGAAAUAAAUAAUCCAAAACAUGGCAGAGCGCGUCGCAAAAUGGCCGAAACUAUUUGAGCCUAUCACUGCUCGUCGGCACCACACUGAAGCAGAAUCGGUCUGAUGCCAGCCAAGGAUGUUAAAAUUAUAUUUAAAAAGGUGACAUUUUUAUCUAUGAAAUUAUUAAAAAGCUUAUGGAAGGAGUUACCAAGAUUAAAACCGUAGAUUAUUAUUACAUUACUUCCUAAAAGAACUGUAGUUGUUAGAAGUACAUUCUUUUCUUAUCUAAAAGGUUUUAUUUUAAUUUUUUUAAAAGGCAUGCUAGAUGUUCAAAUUGUGCUGUUUUGGUGGAGCUUUUAAAUUGAUCUUAAAUAUCUAAAUGGGAGACUUGAUUUGAGAAGUGUUUUGAGUUAAGGGAGACCUGCACUUUUUUGGGGGGAAUUUUCCGUAUCGUUCACAAUCAUUAUGAAAAACAUGACGGAUGUAUUUUUUAAAAUGCAUUGUAAAUAGUAAAUACAUUUGAUCAAAAGUCUGCUUACAAUGGAGCCUAUAAAGCCCUUAAAAACAUCCAAACACCUCAAUUAAAGUUUUACAUACAUGAUGUAAGUAUAUAUGUAAUGGGCACAUUUAUAAUACCAUUUAAUAUUUACAUAUUUUGCUCAUUUUAAGCAUACGUGGUGCAUUAAUUUAAUAAAUGCCUCACAACGUUCGCUUUUUCUCCCCAUUACAUCACUGAUUAUUACUCACUGCAGACUUUGAGAGCCAACAAAGCAAACACCACUUACUGUACAAUGUCUGCUGUCAUUAGGAUGCCGACUGCUAGGUUGUUCAUAUAUUCCCAUUUAGAUGAAGAAUGACUCAUAAUCCUCACAAAGAAAAUGGUGUCGUUCUUGCCAUUUUUGGGUGUAAAUUGGCCUGUCAAAGUGUACCAAAUUGUCAGAUUACAUCAUCCACCUUCGACUAUCUAGGUGAGAGGCAUGAUUUAUGUUCUACAAUAAAAUGUGACGAGCAAGAAAACGAAUAAACAGCAGUUCAUCAAUUGAUCAUGUCAACAUAAGGACACACGUUUAGUGAUCAUUUCGCUGUUCUAAAUGAUAAUGUCAUAGCGACACUGAAUAUAAUAAUUUAUUAUUUUAUCCUCAAGGAUGCCAUCUAGGGCCAGUUUUUGCUACGGGCAAUGUGGGCGACCGCCCAGGGCGCAAUCCAUGUGAAUUAAAACAAAACUCACCAGUUUUAUAGACUACCAUUCCCAUAGUAACCCAUUUUAUAUUGAGUUCCCAGUACAAAUGGAAUGCACCAUAAAAGCCCGGACUGCAAAUGAUUCUCGCCCUGUGAGGGUCUCUGCUCUGCUCGCCUGUGAGUGCUUUGGAACAGGGCAGGGGCACACUGCUUUGGGCUUCCAAAACACACAAAAAUCUUCAAAACUCACUAGACUUGUAGCGGUUCACAAAAAUAAUUGGCCAAGAGGAAUUGAAAGUCACCAGAUAUAGCGACAUAGUCGCCAAGAUGACAACACUGGAAGAGGCAAUUUGGCAAGGGGGAGGGGAUAAUCUGCUCCCAGGCCAGUGAGGCCACACAACACAAACUGCUUCCAAAGAGAUUGUAUUUCAAUCCUAAAAUUAAAAUAGACCCAUAUAACUACAUGUAAUUAUUUGGGUUAUGUGAAAAAUUUAAAAAAUUUGUGCUUCACAUGACUUCGAAACAGUGAAGCUUAUUAAAACGUGCUUGAGAUCCUCUAAGUCACAGGAGCAUCUAUCUGGACUUGCCAUAAUCAGACAGCAUCAAUCAUACAGAUUUGGUAUGAUGGUGUAAUUGAUGAUAUUGCAUCAAAGGCGACAAAAGUUAACUUUUAGAUUGCACAUUCUUUUCUGUUCACAUUUUUCAAGUAGAGUGUACAUAUAUACACAUACACACAUACCUGUAUAUACAUACACCUAGUACAGGGGUCGGCAAGCCAAAAUGUUGAAAGAGCCAUAUUGGACCAAAAAUACAAAAACAAAUCUGUCUGGAGCCGCAAAAAAUUAAAAGCCAUAUUACAUACAGAUAGUGUGUCAUGAGAUAUAAAUUGAAUUAAGAUGACUUAAAGGAAACUAAAUGACCUCAAAUAUACCUACAAAUGAG